rnacentral:lncRNA from 1 species
CCAGAGGAGGGAACACGCUAUAGAAAUCCUGUCUUCUAUACUAUAAUUUAAUCAUCGUGUGCCACAGAAUGUCUUUGCAUAAAUUACAACCACAAUGAUAGCAUCACUUUCACAAAAGGUGGCCUCUAAUCGAUUUGACUCUCCAAGAGAUGGCUGGGUUUUUCAAAGCAGAGAAAUGAUGCCCUGCAGUCUUAAAGAGCUGUUGAUUGCACCUGGGGCUCCCGUGGCCGGCGCCCAUCGAGCAGCCCGUCCUGGCUGUUCCCUUGUUCAGCUUAUUUUCUUUUUUAUCUUGACAUUUGCUAACCGCUUGGUUUUUAUUUUCCGGGAAGAGAAGAUUAUUGGCAACUGGCACCACCCCCAUGUCUGCAGGAGGGACGUUUCUAGGAUGACCCCCAGAGUGGAGAAAUAGCCGAGCUCAUGAGGCCACCCACACAGGCAGGCUGGAGAGGAGUGGCAAGAAGCUCACCUUCGGACAGUAGUGAGCAGAGCGACAGAGGCCCCCAGAGACUUCGCACAACGGAAAAGACCAACUCCCGCAUUUGCAGGGGACCUGAAAGUGCAAUACUGUGAGGAACGAAAGGAAGCCUCAUCUCUGGAAGCUGGGAGGAAAAACAGUCGGUGUAGACAGCAGCGGCAGGGACCAGAGCUGACCAGAAGGCUGGGUCCCAGCAACAAUUAGAGACAGGCAGCAGCUGAGGCCCCUUCC